AUGCACGCUGGCGGCGUGCCUAAUACAUGCAAGUCGCGCUAACAGACGAGGAGCUUGCUCCUCUGACGUUAGCGGCGGACGGGUGAGUAACACGUGGAUAACCUACCUAUAAGACUGGGAUAACUUCGGGAAACCGGAGCUAAUACCGGAUAAUAUAUUGAACCGCAUGGUUCAAUAGUGAAAGACGGUUUUGCUGUCACUUAUAGAUGGAUCCGCGCCGCAUUAGCUAGUUGGUAAGGUAACGGCUUACCAAGGCAACGAUGCGUAGCCGACCUGAGAGGGUGAUCGGCCACACUGGAACUGAGACACGGUCCAGACUCCUACGGGAGGCAGCAGUAGGGAAUCUUCCGCAAUGGGCGAAAGCCUGACGGAGCAACGCCGCGUGAGUGAUGAAGGUCUUCGGAUCGUAAAACUCUGUUAUUAGGGAAGAACAAAUGUGUAAGUAACUAUGCACGUCUUGACGGUACCUAAUCAGAAAGCCACGGCUAACUACGUG
rnacentral:rRNA from 1 species